CAGAUUAUUUGUGCGCGUUAAUCUUUACAUACGGCCUGUGUUAUUGAAACUGGAAUUGAAAAGACAGUGAUAAGUGUUUGCGAUGUACCGCAAAACAAAGAACAAUAGAAACUAUUUCGGAACAUAGUUCUAACAACGUUUUAUAUGGGUAAUUAUAAAUGAAUAAUCCUCACUGUAAUUACGAAUUUCAUCUCCCAAAUUCAGUA